UGGGGAAUUUUGGACAAUGGGCGCAAGCCUGAUCCAGCCAUGCCGCGUGCGGGAAGAAGGCCUUCGGGUUGUAAACCGCUUUUGUCAGGGAAGAAAUCUUCUGAGUUAAUACCUCGGGAGGAUGACGGUACCUGAAGAAUAAGCACCGGCUAACUACGUGCCAGCAGCCGCGGUAAUACGUAGGGUGCAAGCGUUAAUCGGAAUUACUGGGCGUAAAGCGUGCGCAGGCGGUUUUGUAAGACAGAGGUGAAAUCCCCGGGCUCAACCUGGGAACUGCCUUUGUGACUGCAAGGCUUGAGUGCGGCAGAGGGGGAUGGAAUUCCGCGUGUAGCAGUGAAAUGCGUAGAUAUGCGGAGGAACACCGAUGGCGAAGGCAAUCCCCUGGGCCUGCACUGACGCUCAUGCACGAAAGCGUGGGGAGCAAACAGAUUAGAUACCCUGGUAGUCACGCCCUAAACGAUGUCAACUGGUUGUUGGGAAGGUUCCUUCUCAGUAACGUAGCUAACGCGUGAAGUUG
rnacentral:rRNA from 1 species